rnacentral:lncRNA from 1 species
UGAGGAAGUAUCGAUUAGCAUUAUAGACCAGAAGAGUAGAAUACUCUGCAACCAAGAUAUUUCAUUCGUCAAGGUCCAAUAAUAGAACCAUAUGUAGGAAAAGGACACUUGGGAACUGGAAUCAAGCUUCAGGGCCCAGUACCCCCCAGUUGUUCGACUGAGUAAGAGAGUGACCAGUUUAAGGAACUAAAUUUUCUUAAGGAUGGGAGAGUUAUAAUACCUGGGCCCAAAAAAUAGCCC